ACAUGCUUACAGCAUAGUGUUAAUGCACCGGAUCCCAUUAGAACCCUGCAGUUAAGCACGCUCGAGCUAGAGUAGUAUUGGGAUGGGUGACCUCCCAGAAAGUCCUAGUAUUUUACAUGCC
rnacentral:rRNA from 1 species